ensembl:lncRNA
UGGAGGUGGAGGUAGAGGUGGAGGUGGAGAUGGAGGUGGAGGUGGAGAUGGACGUGGAGAUGGAGAUGGACGUGGAGAUGGAGGUGGAGAUGGAGGUGGAGAUAGAGGUGGGAAUAGAGGUGGGAAUAGAGGUGGAGAUGGAGAUGAGGGGGAGAUAGAGGUGGAGAUGGAGGUGGAGAUAGAGGUGGAGAUGGAGUUGGAGAUAGAGAGGUGGGAAUAGAGGUGGGAAUAGAGGUGGAGAUGGAGGUGGAGAUGGAGGUGGAGAUGGAGGUGUGAGAAAGAGUGAACAUCAAAGUGUGAGUGGAUGUAGCCCUGCGAAGCUCAGAGUUUCAGCCCCUGUGACCCCUAAUGAGGGAUAUCAGCUCUCGCCACUGGCCCAUACUAAUGAGCUAAU